CUGCACUCCAUUUCUAAUGUCAAAGGUUGAGGUGUGGAAGCCGUUGACUGGCUCCUUUGAAGUACGCCUUAGUCCCUGGUGACCUUCUUGCCCCCACCCGAACUGCACAUGUCCCCUCUCACUGGGCUUAGGUGGCUCUGCUUCUUGAAAGCUAUGUGAAAUGGGAGAAAUGAAACCAUGAUUUCCACUGGACUUUGCUGAAGACCUUAAGAGUGCCAAAACAGUACUGCAUUCCUUAAAGAGCGGAAUAAAGGAUCGAGUUAGACUGGCCUUCUCAACACCUCUUGAAAAGCCCCCUUGGGUCUCAUUUUGCUGGGAUGACUAUUUAUAUGACAGGUAAGGGAAUAAUUUUGCUGGAUUCUGUUACACUAGGGCCUCUGUGACCCCUGGGUCAAAAGAGCAAAUGCAAAAGUGACAAUGUGGAUAAUUGCCUGUUUAGGAUAAUGGAAUACUGAUUGAAGUCAAUUAUUAUAACACAUGAAAGAUGAAGGAGCUGAUGUGAAAGGUUCAGGGGCGAUGGCUGCAGAGUGAACCAGCAGGCACCACACAGAGGGGUGGCUGAGCAACUGUGGGAUGCAAGAGGGGGCAGGUUUUCUGACCUAAAGCUCACUCCAGCCUGGAGCAGGCCAAGAUCUAAAGCAGGUUAGUUUGUAAAACAUGCCUUAAAACAGAAAUUCAGCCCAAUGCCCCAAACUGCAGGAUUAGAGUAACAUCAGUUAAUGUGGCCCUCCAUUAAUUUUCACUAUAACCUCUGAAGGCCUAGACUUGCCCCAAAUCCAUUAGUUUUGUCUGUCACUGGAGGGAACUUUCCCUUCCUGGCAGCCAGGAAAAAGCCUGCUGACGUACG